CGGGUGAGUAACGCGUGGUCAACCGACCGUUGAGUGGGGGAUAACUAGCCGAAAGGCUAGCUAAUACCGCAUACGUCUCUGAGGGGCAUCCCUUGGCGAUAAAAGGAGCAAUCCGCUCGAUGACGGGACCGCGUCCCAUUAGCUAGAUGGUGGGGUAACGGCCUACCAUGGCACCGAUGGGUAGCUGGUUUGAGAGAGCGACCAGCCACACUGGGACUGAGACACGGCCCAG
rnacentral:rRNA from 1 species